GAUGAAGAACGUAGCGAAAUGCGAUACGUAAUGUGAAUUGCAGAAUUCAGUGAAUCAUCGAGUCUUUGAACGCACAUCGCGCCCCCUGGUAUUCCGGGGGGCAUGCCUGUCCGAGCGUCAUUGCUGCCCUCAAGCACGGCUUGUGUGUUGGGCCUCCGUCCUCCUCCCGGGGGACGGGCCCGAAAGGCAGCGGCGGCACCGCGUCCGGUCCUCGAGCGUAUGGGGCUUCGUCACCCGCUCUUGUAGGCCCGGCCGGCGCUUGCCGACACAUCAAUCUUUUUUCCAGGUUGACCUCGGAUCAGGUAGGGAUACCCGCUGAACUUAAGCAUAUCAAUAAGCGGAGGA
rnacentral:misc_RNA from 1 species